rnacentral:rRNA from 1 species
UACGUAGGGAGCAAGCGUUGUCCGGAAUUACUGGGCGUAAAGCGCGUGUAGGCAGUUUCGCAAGUCGGAUGUGAAAGCCCUGGGCUCAACCUAGGAAGUGCAUUCGAAACUGCGAGACUGGAGUCCUGGAGAGGAAGGCGGAAUUCUCGGUGUAGAGGUGAAAUUCGUAGAUAUCGAGAGGAACACCAGUGGCGAAGGCGACUACCUGGCCUGUUCUUGACGCUGAGGCGCGAAAGCUAGGGGAGCAACGGGG